AAGAUUUGUUGAGCGUGAGGGAAAUGCUGUGGUUAUUGAAUGAGUCCAUUGAAAGAAUUGCCUAGACCUGAUUUGCAUAAUAAGCUUUAGCAGUAUGCCCUCCCCAUCGCCCCACUGGGACCGUGAUUGCUGACCGCUGGCGACAUAAUCGAAUCAGUGAAGCAACGCUGGUUAUUGAAUGUGCCUCAUUUGAAAAUUGAGUAUUACAUCGUCUCCUCCUUCUCCUCCUCCGCCUCAUCACAAAUAAAAAUGUCGCAAUUUCUGGUUGCGGUGGGUGGCGGCAGGAAAAAGAACAGAUGGGAUGGAACUAUUGGAGGAAGAGCAUUAAUUAGUAUUAACA
ensembl:ncRNA F54E4.9 ncRNA